UGCAGGAACAAGUAAAGGGACUCUGGGAGGACAUGUGGGUUCUGCGUCCUCCUCUUCUCUUCACACCCCAGCAUCACUCUCUGUGUUUCUCCCCCUUACAGGUUCCUGGGCCCAGUCUGGGCUUACUCAGCCGCCCUCUGUGUCUGGGUCCCUGGGCCAGAAGGUUACCAUCUCCUGCACUGGAAGCAGCUCCAACAUCGGUGGUAGUUAUGUGAACUGGUUCCAAUAGUUCCCAGGAACCGCCCCCAGAACUGUCAUCUAUGGUAAUAACAACCGACCGUUGGGGAUCCCGGAUCGAUUUUCUGGCUCCAAGUCUGGCAGCUCAGCCACCCUGACCAUCACUGGACUCCAGGCUGAGGAUGAGCCGGAGUAUUACUGUGCAUUGUGGGAUGACAAUCUCAAUGCUCACACAGUGCUCCAGGCCUGAGGGGAAGUGAGACAAGAACCCACUUGCUCAUCCAUAGAAGGGGACACAUGCCAGCAGUUCCGGUUCAGCUUAGCCUGUGAUGCUACUUAUUCCUCUGCUGACUCCUUGUCCCCGGGUCCAUCUGGGGCACCACCGGGGAGUGAGGAUCUCCUGUCGCUUCUGUCCUCAGAGUCACUCAGAGCAGCUCAUUCCUUGACAAAGAGUCUCCAUGUGAACAGAAAUUUCUUGUUUCAUCAUCUGAGAAUGUGAUCUUAUAUGGACAUGGGGUUGCUGCAGAUGUAGUCAGCUAAGGGCUCUCCCCAUGGCUGAAGCCACCUCCAUCCUCCUCUGUGUGUGGUGUGACCUGAGCUCCAGCACCAGGGCUCAGGGGAGGGCCUGGGCAGUCACUGGAUGGAGACCAUUUGCACGGACAGCCCCUCUUGGGACAGAGGGUGGAGAAGAAAAGGAGGCCUGGGGCAUCCCAGCUCAGCCCACUGUGGGGACCAGGGCCUGUGUCACCGUGGCCUGUACUCCUGUCCACCUCAUGCCCCUCUCCUAUUGUACAGGUUCGCUGUCCCCGCCUGUGCUGACCCAGCCACCCUACCUCUCUGCAUCUCUGGAUCAUCUGCCAGACUCACCUGCACAUUCUGCACUGUGCGUGGUGUCAGCAGCUACCAAACAUACUGGUUCCAGCAGCAGCCAG